rnacentral:misc_RNA from 1 species
AAUCAUCAACCUCCCCGGUUUGCGCUGGGUUCUCGGUUGGAUCUGGGGGUCUCUUGCUGCCGAAAGGCGGCUCCCCUUGAAUGCAUCGGUUGGGGCCUUCGAGCUUAUGCGUCAAUUGGGCGUUGUAUUACCCUCGCUUCUACACUGACUGCGGCUCGCGCUUUGUGACCCUUCCUCGACUUGCCCUUGGAGUGGCGGUCAACCUUUGAAC